rnacentral:rRNA from 1 species
AACGAACGCUGGCGGCAUGCCUAACACAUGCAAGUCGAACGAGACCUUCGGGUCUAGUGGCGCACGGGUGCGUAACGCGUGGGAACCUGCCCUUAGGUUCGGAAUAACUCCCCGAAAGGGGUGCUAAUACCGGAUAAUGUCUUCGGACCAAAGAUUUAUCGCCUUUGGAUGGGCCCGCGUUGGAUUAGCUAGUUGGUAGGGUAAAAGCCUACCAAGGCGACGAUCCAUAGCUGGUCUGAGAGGAUGAUCAGCCACACUGGGACUGAGACACGGCCCAGACUCCUACGGGAGGCAGCAGUGGGGAAUAUUGGACAAGGGGCGAAAGCCUGAUCCAGCAAUGCCGCGUGAGUGAUGAAGGCCUUAGGGUUGUAAAGCUCUUUGACCCGGGAUGAUAAUGACAGUACCGGGAGAAUAAGCGCCGGCUAACUCCGUG